AAUACACUAGAAAUAUGGAAGUGCUUUAAGAUUUAUAUCCUUUUACAAAAGUGACUGAGGUACUUUCUGGUCUGAUUUUUCAAAGGAUUGGGGGGAGGGGGGCGCUAAGAAUGUAGGUUAAGCACUUGUGAGGCUUUUCAAAACCACUUGGGGAAACUAACCACCAGUGAUUUGGGAAAGGGCAUUAUAUUAAGAGGAGAACCUGUGCUCAUAGGUCAUUAAAAAGGAUGGGUGAGACAAUAAAAUAAGGGAAAGGAAUGUGAUUAGACUGAAAAUCUGAGGAGGAAGGGGAGGGAGUUGAGGGCAAUUAGCAUUCAUGAGGCAGAAAUAAGAUGCUGAAUUUGGUGGGAAAGUAAAAGAAAGAAAGCAGAGCAGAAACUUCCAUGUCAUUAAUGGAAAGUAUGAGAGGAUGACAGAGGCAUGGAGAGGUCAUAGCAUAUGUAGUCAAUCUGUUUGAAAGAGUCAACAAUAGUAUUGGCAAAAAAAAAAAAAGAGGAAAAACAGGAUUUUUUAGGAAAGAACGAAAGGCAAUGAACAGAUAGUUUGACAGCAUAUGUGGGAUUCAGUGAGAGAAGAAAAAAAAAGUGCUGCCUAACUUGGAAGGUGACAAAACUGAAGGAAGAAAGAAAGUUUACUGUAGGGAUAAAGUGAUUUUACAGGUAAAUCCAUAGGGGAGAGAAGAAAGAGGAGGAGGAGACAAAGAAAUUGUCCAGAUAUUUUGCUUCAGUGGUGUUCCUGAAGUGUGACCUUAAAGAUCCUGCAGCUGCACACAGGGGACAGUCAGUAGUUGGCAGGCAGGAUGGAGUCUAAGAGUCACUGCCACCCUCUGCUGGGGUUCUGUGAAUAUGCCAGCUCUGCCAGAGGAGUACCCUGGACCAGACCCACCUCCUGGACUGGCUGUUGAUGGCAAUGGAGGAGCAUCUGGAGGACAUGUGGGCAUGGUGGGCAGAAGGCAUCGCCUGGCAGGCAGAGGAUGUCUCCAUGAGGAUGUAUAGAACUGGCAUGAGGAGGCAUAGGAAUGGAUAGCCCAGGAGUUCAAGGCAAGGCUCCCAGCCCUGGAGGAGUGGCACACUGAGGCUGUGCUCAUGGCUAGGGCAGUGGAGGUGACAGAGGAGGCCUGCUGGGUGCUGAACAUCAUCCUGGCCCUGGUAGUGGUGGCUUACUGAAGAGUAAAAUGCUCCUGGAUCCAGUGCAUUUAUAGAUGCACCCACUGCUGCCUCUAAUGGGCACAUCCAGAUGAGCACUCCCAUGAAUUUCCCUGGGGAUAAAUAGCAGCGGACUUAGCUGUACUGCUGCUACUCAUCCCCAGGGACUGCCCAUGCACAUACAGACUGAUACAUGGCAAGUUACCCUGGGUGGGUAGGGGAGCCUGGGAUAAGCACCUAGGGUCCUGGGGUCCUCCCAGGGCUCCAGUGGCAGCAAUCUGGCAUCAGGAACCUGGUCGGCAGCCAGAUCAUGUCUCUGGCUGGUCAGGCUCCAGUUUUGGGUGGUGCACACUGCCACCACAUGCACUGCCCCCCUUUUUUCUAUCAUGGAUGGUUUUUUGGUCAACCCUGCCCACCCUCCACCUCUGCAUAUGUGGUAUGUGCAGUGUGCAGCGCUGCAGACUGCUCAUGCACACUCAUCUGGAUGUGCCCAAUGAGUUUAACCACCCCACCAGACAUCUUAAACAUUUGCUAACACUGGUGGUGUAUGUAUACAGCUAUGUAUGUGCAUUAGUGCCCUCUACUGGAUACAAGUUCAGUGAAGUAUGCAAACAGUUUAUCUACUCAAUGGCUAGAAUAGAGAAAUACUCUCACUGCAAGUGGUUUAUAGAGAUUUUUUCUCGAACUCAAGAAGAGACAACCUUUUCACUGUAAUAUUAUCAGUGAAUAUCCAGAAUAUCCAAGGCAAUGUAUACAAGUAGGUGGUGAUAUGUGGCAAUGUCUAACUAGUUGAUGGUGCAUUGCAUACAAUGAGUUUAGCAAGAUUAGUAAAACUGACAAGCAGAAAGGAGUUGAAAACCCUGGGCAGACAGUUAUAGGAAAAAUAACAUCGGCAUAUAUAAAAAUCACCUGAGCCUUCUUCCCCUUCUUUGUCAUCUUCUGAGUUGCUAAGUUGUUCCCUAGAAUGGCAGGUUUGGGUUUUAUCUGCAACAUCCUAAAAUUGAAGGGAGGGUAAACUGUGUCUGGAGUAUAAAUAACUGUUUCUCAAAACUCUGGGGCAAUAGCUAUGGUCACAUUUUUAUGGGUGAAGAUAAAAAUUAAUACCAAUAUAUACACCCACUGUGUAGAGGAAGAGAGAAGAAUUAGGGGGCAGGAUAUUUCAGCAGAGCCGGUAUUAGCAUUUGGCCAUGGAGGGAGCUUUGCAUGUGUUCUUCCUAGAUCAGGUAUGCAAUGUUAUAGGGAGCUAUAGAAUUGUGAAAUGUCAAAUACAUACACAUGCACACACACACACACACACACACCCCUCUCAAUACCUAGAACUUUAAUUUGAUUUUAAAAACUUCUAACUAUAUUACUGAAGAAUGUAAGGUAAUUGGAGAUAGAGCUGGGCUUUAAUAAUUUCUUGUUUAAAAAAUAUGAAUAUGGUACAAUACCUCAAUAAUGUAAACAAUCUUGUGAUAUCCCAGUGGGGCCCAACCUUUUUGUCAGGCAUGCCACAAAUUAUCCCUGUACCCUCCCUAAGUGCCACUUUGAUCCCCUUCCCCUGUGCAAUCUGCUGCUCUGCUUUCUGCUCCCUGCCUUAUCUGCCACUGCACUGCCUGUCCUCUCCUUGCAUACUAUACACAGAGGCUAUCUGUACCACAGGUUGGCUACUUCUGCCAUACCCUAUCUUUGCAUUGCCCGGCAGUUGGCUUUAUAAAGCCAGGUGUUCAGUGACAUGGCUCUUUGGAGUUAAGUCCCAGCUGGUGUUUUCCAAGUCUCAACCAGGGACUCGCUCACUGAGUUAAAACAAUGAGCGUAUGUAGGCUCAGAACAUUGAAAAAUUGCUCAGCUUUGCUGCAACUGGAGGAACAGACACUGAUUUGUUGACUAGGCUAGGAUAUUUUUGUUGUCUUGUUGGGUUUCAGCUUAUUUGUUUGGUAUUUAUGGGUAAUUAAAACUGCUUGAAGGAAACAUGGCCAAGAACUUUACUGGUUUCUGUUAUUUUUUCUUGAACAAGCACACUGUAGUAAAAUAGGAAUCUCAAAGAGAUCUCUUUCUCUCAUGCUCUUUUGCUUAAUUUUUUGCUUACUUGUGAACUUUUUCUUGUUUUCAUACUUUGCCCUGUUGCAAGUGACCACAUAUUAUCCAUAAAGAAACCUUUGAACAACAGUGAAAUAAAUAAGUGAACUGACAAUGUAUUAAAAUGUUGAAUUUUCCACUUUGGGAAACUGCAAAAUUGAAUUAAUAAACUUUCCAAAAUAAUGGAGACA